rnacentral:rRNA from 1 species
AUUGAACGCUGGCGGCAUGCUUUACACAUGCAAGUCGAACGGCAGCACGGGGGCAACCCUGGUGGCGAGUGGCGAACGGGUGAGUAAUGCAUCGGAACGUGCCCAGUAGUGGGGGAUAGCCCGGCGAAAGCCGGAUUAAUACCGCAUACGCACUACGGUGGAAAGCGGGGGACCGAAAGGCCUCGCGCUAUUGGAGCGGCCGAUGUCGGAUUAGCUUGUUGGUGGGGUAACGGCCUACCAAGGCGACGAUCGGUAGCUGGUCUGAGAGGAUGAUCAGCCACACUGGGACUGAGACACGGCCCAGACUCCUACGGGAGGCAGCAGUGGGGAAUAUUGGACAAUGGGCGCAAGCCUGAUCCAGCCAUGCCGCGUGAGUGAUGACGGCCUUAGGGUUGUAAAGCUCUUUCGCCAGGGACGAUAAUGACGGUACCUGGAUAAGAAGCCCCGGCUAACUUCGUG